rnacentral:rRNA from 1 species
GGUUGCGAUCAUACCAGCACUAAUGCACCGGAUCCCAUCAGAACUCCGCAGUUAAGCGUGCUUGGGCGAGAGUAGUACUGGGAUGGGUGACCCCCUGGGAAGUCCUCGUGUUGCAACCC